GAUGAACGCUGGCGGCGUGCCUAAUACAUGCAAGUCGAGCGAACAGACGAGGAGCUUGCUCCUCUGACGUUAUCGGCGGACGGGUGAGUAACACGUGGAUAACCUACCUAUAAGACUGGGAUAACUUCGGGAAACCGGAGCUAAUACCGGACAAUAUAUUGAACCGCAUGGUUCAAUAGUGAAAGACGGUUUUGCUGUCACUUAUAGAUGGAUCCGCGCCGCAUUAGCUAGUUGGUAAGGUAACGGCUUACCAAGGCAACGAUGCGUAGCCGACCUGAGAGGGUGAUCGGCCACACUGGAACUGAGACACGGUCCAGACUCCUACGGGAGGCAGCAGUAGGGAAUCUUCCGCAAUGGGCGAAAGCCUGACGGAGCAACGCCGCGUGGGUAAUAAAGGUCUUCGGAUCGUAAAACUCUGUUAUUAGGGAAGAACAAAUGUGUAAGUAACUAUGCACGUCUUGACGGUACCUAAUCAGAAAGCCACGGCUAACUACGUG
rnacentral:rRNA from 1 species